UCCUGGCUCAGGAUGAACGCUAGCGGCAGGCUUAAUACAUGCAAGUCGUGGGGCAGCAUGAGUAGCAAUACUUGAUGGCGACCGGCAAACGGGUGAGGAACACGUACACAACCUUCCUUCAAGCGGGGAAUAGCCCAGAGAAAUUUGGAUUAAUACCCCAUAAUAUAUUUGAUAAGGCAUCUUAUUAAUAUUAAAGCUUCGGCACUUGAUGAUGGGUGUGCGGCUGAUUAGAUAGUUGGCGGGGUAACGGCCUACCAAGUCUACGAUCAGUAGCUGAUGUGAGAGCAUGAUCAGCCACACGGGCACUGAGACACGGGCCCGACUCCUACGGGAGGCAGCAGUAAGGAAUAUUGGACAAUGGACGAAAGUCUGAUCCAGCCAUGCCGCGUGAAGGAUUAAGGUCCUCUGGAUUGUAAACUUCUUUUAUAUGGGACGAAAAAAGGGCAUUCUUGUUCACUUGACGGUACCAUAUGAAUAAGCACCGGCUAACUCCGUG
rnacentral:rRNA from 1 species